GAUGAACGCUGGCGGCGUGCCUAAUACAUGCAAGUCGAACGAAAAGACCAGGAGCUUGCUCCGUUCACGUUAGCGGCGGACGGGUGAGUAACACGUGGAUAACCUACCUAUCAGAGGGGGAUAACCUCGGGAAACGGGAGCUAAUACCGUAUAAUAUCUUGAACCGCAUGGUUCGAUAGUGAAAUACGGCGUUUGUGUCUGUUCUAGCUGGAUCCCCGCCUGAUUAGGUAGUUGGGAAGGUAACGGGCUACCAAGGGGACGAGGCGUAGGCGAGCUGAGAGAGUGAUCGGCCACAUUAGAACUGGAACACGGACAAGACGACUACGAGAGGCAGCAGUAGGGAAUCUUCCGCAGUAGGCGGAAGUCUGACGGAGCGACGCGGAGUGAGUGACGAAGGUCUUCGGAUCGUAAAACUCUGUUUUUAGGGAAGAACAACUGUGUCAGUAGCUGUGGACGUCUUGACGGUACCUAAUCAGAAAGCAACGGCUAACUACGUG
rnacentral:rRNA from 1 species